GUCCACGCCGUAAACGAUGAAUGCUAGGUGUUAGGGGUUUCGAUACCCUUGGUGCCGAAGUUAACACAUUAAGCAUUCCGCCUGGGGGAGUACGGCCGCAAGGCUGAAACUCAAAGGAAUUGACGGGGACCCGCACAAGCAGUGGAGUAUGUGGUUUAAUUCGAAGCAACGCGAAGAACCUUACCAGGUCUUGACAUCCCCCUGACCGGUACAGAGAUGUACCUUUCCUUCGGGACAGGGGAGACAGGUGGUGCAUGGUUGUCGU
rnacentral:rRNA from 1 species